GACGAACGCUGGCGGCGUGCUUAACACAUGCAAGUCGAACGGAAAGGCCCUGCUUUUGUGGGGUGCUCGAGUGGCGAACGGGUGAGUAACACGUGAGUAACCUGCACUUGACUUUGUGGUAACUUCAGGAAACUGGGGCUAAUACCGGAUAGGAGCUCCUGCUCCACGGUGGGGGUUGGAAAGUUUCGGCGGUUGGGGAUGGACUCGCGGCUUAUCCGCUUGUUGGUGGGGUAGUGGCUUACCAAGCCUUUGACGGGUAGCCCGCCUGGGAGGUGGGCCGGGCACCAGGGGACUGAGAGAGGGCGCAGACGGGUAUGUGAGGCAGCAGGGGGGAACAUUGCACAAUGGGCGGAAGCGUGAUGCAGCAGCGUCGCGUGCGGGAUAACGGCCUUCGAGUUGUAAACAGCUGUCGCCUGUGACGAAGCCGUAGUGACGGUAACUGGUAAAGAAGCACCGGCUAACUACGUG
rnacentral:rRNA from 1 species